rnacentral:rRNA from 1 species
GAGCGGCGAACGGGUGAGUAACACGUGAGCAACCUGCCCCAAGCUUUGGGAUAACCCCGGGAAACCGGGGCUAAUACCGAAUAGGACUGCUGGCCGCAUGGCUGGUGGUGGAAAGUUUUUCGGCUUGGGAUGGGCUCGCGGCCUAUCAGCUUGUUGGUGGGGUGAUGGCCUACCAAGGCGACGACGGGUAGCCGGCCUGAGAGGGCGACCGGCCACACUGGGACUGAGACACGGCCCAGACUCCUACGGGAGGCAGCAGUGGGGAANNUUGCACAAUGGGCGGAAGCCUGAUGCAGCGACGCCGCGUGAGGGAUGACGGCCUUCGGGUUGUAAACCUCUUUCAGCAGGGACGAAGCGAGAGUGACGGUACCUGCAGAAGAAGCGCCGGCCAACUACGUGCCAGCAGCCGCGGUAAGACGUAGGGCGCGAGCGUUGUCCGGAUUUAUUGGGCGUAAAGAGCUCGUAGGCGGCUUGUCGCGUCGACCGUGAAAACUUGGGGCUCAACCCCAAGCCUGCGGUCGAUACGGGCAGGCUAGAGUUCGGUAGGGGAGACUGGAAUUCCU